rnacentral:rRNA from 1 species
AGUGAACGCUGGCGGUAGGCCUAACGCAUGCAAGUCGAACGGCAGCACAGUAAGAGCUUGCUCUUACGGGUGGCGAGUGGCGGAAGGGUGAGGAAUACAUCGGAAUCUACUUUUUCGUGGGGGAUAACGUAGGGAAACUUACGCUAAUACCGCAUACGACCUACGGGUGAAAGCAGGGGAUCUUCGGGCCUUGCGCGAUUGAAUGAGCGGAUGUCGGAUUAACUAGUUGGCGGGGUAAAGGCCCACCAAGGCGACGGUCCGUGGCUGGUAUGAGAGGAUGAUCAGCCACACUGGAACGGAGCCACGGUCCAGACUCCUACGGUAGGCAGCAGUGGGGAAUAUUAGACAAUGGGCGCAAGCCUGAUCCAGCCAUACCGCGUGGGUGAAGAAGGCCUUCGGGUUGUAAAGCCCUUUUGUUGGGAAAGAAAAGCAGCAGGUUAAGACCCCGCUGUUCUGACGGUACCCAAAGAAUAAGCACCGGCUAACUUCGUG